UACGUAGGAGGCAAGCGUUAUCCGGAAUGACUGGGCGUAAAGGGUGCGUAGGUGGUUUGAUAAGUUGGUAGCGUAAUUCCGAGGCUCAACCUCGGCGCUACUACCAAAACUGUCGGACUUGAGUGCAGGAGGGGCAAAUGGAAUUCCUAGUGUAGCGGUGGAAUGCGUAGAUAUUAGGAGGAACACCAGUGGCGAAGGCGAUUUGCUGGACUGUAACUGACGUUGAGGCUCGAAAGCGUGGGGAGCAAACAGG
rnacentral:rRNA from 1 species